AUUGAACGCUGGCGGCAGGCCUAACACAUGCAAGUCGAGCGAGCGGCGGACGGGUGAGUAAUGUCUGGGAAACUGCCUGAUGGAGGGGGAUAACUACUGGAAACGGUAGCUAAUACCGCAUACCAUCAGAUGUGCCCAGAUGGGAUUAGCUAGUAGGUGGGGUAACGGCUCACCUCGGCGACGAUCCCUAGCUGGUCUGGGAGGAUGACCAGCCACACUGGAACGUAGAAGCGGUCCAGACUCCUACGGGAGGCAGCAGUGGGGAAUAUUGCACAAUGGGCGCAAGCCGGAUGCAGCCAUGCGGCGUGGGUGAAGAAGGCCUUCGGGUUGUAAAGCACUUUCAGCGGGGAGGCGUUACCCGCAGAAGAAGCACCGGCUAACUCCGUGCCAGCAGCCGCGGUAAUAC
rnacentral:rRNA from 1 species